rnacentral:tRNA from 1 species
UAGUGGGAAGUAUAAAUAUGUAUGGUCAGUUUCGGCCUGAUUGGAGGAGUGGUUUCCCUCACUUA